UUUUUAAUUUGUAUACCUCCAGUGCCUUGCAUCACAUGGCUUUUUCAAAAAUGAAUGUGAAAAAGGGGGAUGGGGAAUGGAUUAAAACAAAAUCCAUACAGUGUUAUGGUAUGUUCUUCAAGGAAACAUGUAUCUAUAUAGGUUAAUAUCAUGGUAAUUUGAAACAACAGUAGGUCAUUUAACUGCCUUCAACAAUGAGCAAAAACAAUACUGUUUAGUAAGGUAUAAAAUGCCAUUACCAAGGCAUUAAAAAUUG
rnacentral:lncRNA from 1 species